CCUACGGGUGGCAGCAGUGAGGAAUAUUGGUCAAUGGCCGGAAGGCUGAACCAGCCAAGCCGCGUGAAGGACGAAGGUGCCAAGCAUUGUAAACUUCUUUUGUCAAGGGACAAAAUCAGGCUCGAGAGCCUGACCGAAGGUUCUUGAAGAAAAAGCAUCGGCUAACUCCGUGCCAGCCGCCGCGGUAAUACGGAGGAUGCGAGCGUUAUCCGGAUUUAUUGGGUUUAAAGGGUGCGUAGGCGGACUGUUAAGUCAGCGGUAAAAGGCCGGGGCUCAACCCCGGCGAGCCGUUGAAACUGGCUGUCUUGAGAUGUCGAGAGGUAUGCGGAAUGCGCAGUGUAGCGGUGAAAUGCUUAGAUAUUGCGCAGAACUCCGAUUGCGAAGGCAGCAUACCGGCGGCGAACUGACGCUGAGGCACGAAAGCGUGGGGAUCGAACAGGAUUAGAUACCCGUGUAGUC
rnacentral:rRNA from 1 species